GAGGAAUAUUGGACAAUGGGCGCAAGCCUGAUCCAGCCAUGCCGCGUGCAGGAAGACGGUCCUAUGGAUUGUAAACUGCUUUUAUACAGGAAGAAACACUCCCUCGUGAGGGAGCUUGACGGUACUGUAAGAAUAAGGAUCGGCUAACUCCGUGCCAGCAGCCGCGGUAAUACGGAGGAUCCAAGCGUUAUCCGGAAUCAUUGGGUUUAAAGGGUCCGUAGGCGGCCUUAUAAGUCAGUGGUGAAAUCUCCUAGCUCAACUAGGAAAUGGCCAUUGAUACUGUAGGGCUUGAAUUAUUGUGAAGUAACUAGAAUAUGUAGUGUAGCGGUGAAAUGCUUAGAUAUUACAUGGAAUACCAAUUGCGAAGGCAGGUUACUAACAAUAUAUUGACGCUGAUGGACGAAAGCGUGGGGAGCGAAC
rnacentral:rRNA from 1 species